UACGGGAGGCAGCAGUGGGGAAUAUUGCACAAUGGGCGCAAGCCUGAUGCAGCCAUGCCGCGUGUAUGAAGAAGGCCUUCGGGUUGUAAAGUACUUUCAGUCGUGAGGAAGGUGUUAAGGUUAAUAACCUUAGCAAUUGACGUUAGCGACAGAAGAAGCACCGGCUAACUCCGUGCCAGCAGCCGCGGUAAUACGGAGGGUGCGAGCGUUAAUCGGAAUUACUGGGCGUAAAGGGCACGCAGGCGGUUAAUUAAGUUGGAUGUGAAAUCCCCGGGCUUAACCUGGGAAUGGCAUUCAAGACUGGUUAGCUAGAGUCUUGUAGAGGGGGUAGAAUUCCAUGUGUAGCGGUGAAAUGCGUAGAGAUGUGGAGGAAUACCGGUGGCGAAGGCGGCCCCUGGACAAAGGCUGACGCUCAUGUGCGAAAGCGUGGGGAACAAACAGGGAUUAGAUACC
rnacentral:rRNA from 1 species